UACGUAGGGGGCAAGCGUUGUCCGGAUUUAUUGGGCGUAAAGAGCGUGUAGGCGGCUUUAAAGGUCCGUUGUGAAAACUCGAGGCUCAACCUCGAGACGCCGGUGGAAACCGUAAAGCUAGAGUCCGGAAGAGGAGAGUGGAAUUCCUGGUGUAGCGGUGAAAUGCGCAGAUAUCAGGAGGAACACCCGUGGCGAAAGCGGCUCUCUGGGACGGUACUGACGCUGAGACGCGAAAGCGUGGGGAGCAAACAGG
rnacentral:rRNA from 1 species